UUCAUAGUUCCGUUUUGUUCUGCUGUUACACUGAAUACAUUGGUGUGAGUUGUUUUUUGUAGCUCUCCAGAAAAAUACUGUGUACCAAUGAAAUACUUAACAAAUGUUCUUGCUGAAAAUUAACCACAAUGGCGACAUCAACAAAAUGAUCUAAAUCACUAAGUCUGCUUAUCAUCACUUAAGUGUAAAAUUUAAAGCUCAAUUCAUAAUUUUAAAGUUCUCCAAAUUGACUUAUUUUCUCUCAUCACCCACUCACUUGAACUCUGCGGUCUUGCUUAAUCUCCUCUCCUACAUACUGCCCCUGACGUUCCAUAUUUGGAUGUUAUUCUUUGAAAUGAAAUUGUCUUAUCACCCAUCUUAUCACCCAGGUCACUCCACUGCUGAUACAGUCUCUAUUUGCUCAGAUUUAAAAAUAGAAAACAUAAGGGUACUUUCAAAACUUCACUCAUUCCACUAGUCCUGAACUUGGUGAGCAAAUUUACCUGGCAGAUACUGAUCCUGCUAGUGGGAUACAACAGUGAACAAGAUGGAGGAGUGGAGGCGACACACAGAUAGUGAAAACACACGAACGACGCUGCUCGUUCUAAUGUCAGAGGAGACCAUCUCUAGGAGGACAGGUAAAGCAGAGAGGAGAGCAUUGAGGAUGGAGUUGCUGUUUGAGACAAGAUGGUGAGAACAGGCCUCUCUGAGGAGGUGACAUUGGAGCAGAACCCUAAAUGCAGGAAGGGCGUCUGCAAAUUCCUGGUGAAAGAAGGUUCCAAGGAAGAAGUAGAAGUCUGAGGGUCCAGGUUAUGGAGCAGCAGGGGCUCAGAGCAGAGUAGGUUGUGGGAGGAUCCCACAUGCCGGGGAGAGUCUUUAUCUUCAGCGUGUGGGAAAGCCCUGGGUGAACGUUCCUUUCAAACACUAUGUAACUUGUACGUGGGAGAAGAGUUCUGGUGCUCCACAGAGUGGACAAGUGGGUUCAGGGGCCUGAAUGGACAAAGGAAAUCCAGUUAGGAGCCAGUUUUUGCAGAAAGGAUGAGUGUAGGCCUAGACAGGGGACAACAGUGGAGAGAGGAGAGGAGGCGCCAUGCAGCAGGCCUUCCUGUGGCGUGGUGGCCUUUCUGGGGCAAGGUGGUGGCCUUUCUGGGGCGUGGUGGCCUUUCUGUGGCAUGGUGGCCUUUCUGUGGCAAGGUGGUGGUGUAGAUGUGGAAUCAUAGAGAAAAGGAAUCGGGGAUGACCCCAAAGUUUUUAACCCCAGCGAAAAAGAGUGGCUUCCAGGAAGGGAGAAAAUGGUAAGACAGACCAGGUUAUUACACGGCUGGCAUGCAGCUGCCCAAAGAGUCUGAUGGAGGGCAGAUCAGGAAGGGGACAGGAAAUACCGGGCAUCUUCUGUGGGGUGCUUAGCUAACAAAGCAAGCUCACACAAGGAAACUGGAGAACUCACCCCAACAACUCAAUAGCUCUUGGGAGCCGGCCAAUAAAUGUGGCCCCAUUUCUCAAGUCUGUGGCUUAUCCUCAGCCUCUUUUAAACACCAGUUUUAGAGUCUCUGAAUGAGUGCCGCAACAACACCAUACCACUGUAUCUGCUUUAAAAGUCCCCUCUUCAUAAUAAAGAUUUUUACAGAGCUCCGUACCUUCAUUUAUAAUUCACGUGUGCUAUCCCAAGACCUUACGGUGGCUCUCCAGGCGACCAGGUAACCUGCCAUCUGUGCAGAAGAGCUGAGAAUGCCCACUCAUGACAUUUAGCCUAGGUUUAUCACAACAAAUGUCCCCAAAAUACCUCAUUGACAUAAAUCUGUCAAAAUUAUAAUACAGUAGCUUUGGAAUUCUGUCAUUUUUCAAGGUUAUUAAGUCAUUUAUUAUUCCAUCAUAUAAAUAAAAUGGACUUGUUAAAUCACUGCAUAGAUCUAUGUUAUUGAUGCCUUCAGAUUUAACAUGGCCAGCCAUAUAAGCAGAUAGCACUUUAACUUUAUUUACUUGUUUAUUUAUUUUGGUGAUAGGGAUUGAACCCAGGGGCACUUAAGCACACUGAGCCACAUCCCCAGCCCAAGGCCAGUGGACAGGCGUGGGUACACCGUCACACCUAUUGACCCAGGUAUUCAGUUUCCCCAAAGCCUUGCCUUCAAUGAACAUGACAUUGCAGUGAAUGAUGACGUCUUCAUUAAAUUAACCAUGUUUCAUUGAUGCCUGAGCUCCUGGAGGCCCGACCUUUCACAUCGGUUUGCAUUCCCACCGUCUGUAGACCUAUCCAUUUCAGUGACAAGCCUUGUAUCCACAUUUUUUUCGAAGAGCUGUUGCCUGGCACCAUUCCUGGUACCAAUACUGUGAUGAUCCAUGUAUAGAUAUGAAGAGACCUUGAGUGCGUGUUUAUCAACUAAUCAGCCUCAUCAUACUCAGAACAAGCAAAGUCUGUACCUGAAAUUCUCAAGAGUCCUGUGUUGAAAGAUUAUUUUUAAGAAAAUGAAGCCCAGAAGUUGACUGGCAAGGAGAGGGGCCCAAAGCCCAGGCUCAGAAGAAGAAGAAGAAGAGUUAACUUGCCCAGAACAGUGAAAGAAAAAGCUGCUUUUAUGUGAACUUCUGCAGACUGGGAACUUCUGAGCCCUUCCCCCUACACGCUGGGUAUAAAACUCUGAAACUCCCUGAACUUGGGGUUCAGGGGAUUGAUUGAUUACAGCCAAGGCUGUGCCCUCUGAACCUGGCUGCAGCCCAAUAAAACUGUUUCCUGCUAUCUUCGGUGCCUUGCCUCGUCUGUCCCUACAACAGGCUGGGAUCUGAGAUGGCCUGAGAAGUUGGGCGGUAGCUGGAGCCCUGUGGGUGGAGAACACUACUCCCACACCUGGAGAACAACAGGAUCAGAAAAGGCCCAGCACCCUGGGACCCCCAGUACGGUGAAGGAGUGGAGCCUGGGAGAGGAUGUGCAUGUGGUCGGCCGCAGGUGGCCCCCAGUGGGCCCAGAGGCCCGGGGUCCGCACUGAGAAGACUGCUCCAGGGCAGAGGCGGCUCACUGGUCAGCUGCCGAAGGAGCACAGCAGAGGAGCCCUGGGGCUGCUGGAGGACGAACACAGAGGCUGGAGAAGGCCACCUGAGGAUGAAGGAAGGGCGAGGGCAGCCCAGGCCGCGAGGACGACUGCUGGUCAGAGGUGCAUCCAGGAGAGCAGGAGAGCUGGCCCCGAAGGCCCAGGCCUGCCCUCAAGUCAGCCUUGAGCAAGGCCUUAGAUGGGGGAAAGAGUCCAGAGGGAGGGUCGAGUGGGAGAGCCAGCGGCCCUGAGGACAUCAGCAGAUGGGACCUGGGGUGAGAGAAGGGACAAGCCUCAAGGGACCACUUCUGAGCCUGAAAACAGGGAGUGGAGGUGGCGGAGACCUGCAGGGUGAGUCAUGCAGUGACCCUGCGCUGGCCUCCCCGUUCUUUACAGAGUGCAGGGCGACUCCAGCAGGGAAGGCACUGAGAGUCACCCUGGCAGGGACCAGAAAAGACCUGCUGCCACUAACUGAGAAUUGGCAGAGGUUGGAAACGAUUCCAUGAUUGUCUACAGAAGCACUCAGCAGCCUUUUUGUACCCUGUGUCAAAUCAGAUGCUUCUCCUCUCUUCCCAAGGUCACGUUAGCCCAGGCAACCAGGAAUUUCCUUCCCUCUUCCCUGUGGCCCUCACCCGCGAGGGUGGUCUCCUCUUGCUGUCCAGGACCUCGACCUGAUGGGGAAUGAGCACUCAGUGGACAGGCAGCCUGUGCUAAGACAUGGCUGUCCUCCUGGGGCUGCUGAAAAUGAAGCCAGAUUUAAAAUUAGGCAGUCAGUGUAGUUAGGUAAAUCGGGUCUAAUACCGAGUGAAAUCUAAAAUGGAGGCCAUGUUGAGGAUGAAUUCCCAGAAAA